GGCGGCGUAGCUCAGUUGGUCAGAGCAUGCGGUUCAUACCCGCAGCGUCCGGGGUUCAAGUCCCUGCGCCGCCACCA
rnacentral:tRNA from 1 species